rnacentral:rRNA from 1 species
GACGAACGCUGGCGGCGUGCUUAACACAUGCAAGUCGAACGGAAGGGCCCUGCUUUUGUGGGGUGCUCGAGUGGCGAACGGGUGAGUAACACGUGAGUAACCUGCCCUUGACUUUGGGAUAACUUCAGGAAACUGGGGCUAAUACCGGAUAGGAGCUCCUGCUACAUGGUGGGGGUUGGAAAGUUUCGGCGGUUGGGGAUGGACUCGCGGCUUAUCAGCUUGUUGGUGGGGUAGUGGCUUACCAAGGCUUUGACGGGUAGCCGGCCUGAGAGGGUGACCGGCCACAUUGGGACUGAGAUACGGCCCAGACUCCUACGGGAGGCAGCAGUGGGGAAUAUUGCACAAUGGGCGGAAGCCUGAUGCAGCAACGCCGCGUGCGGGAUGACGGCCUUCGGGUUGUAAACCGCUUUCGCCUGUGACGAAGCGUGAGUGACGGUAAUGGGUAAAGAAGCACCGGCUAACUACGUG